GGAUUGUAAACUCCUGUCGUUAGGGACGAUAAUGACGGUACCUAACAAGAAAGCACCGGCUAACUACGUGCCAGCAGCCGCGGUAAAACGUAGGGUGCAAGCGUUGUCCGGAAUUACUGGGUGUAAAGGGAGCGCAGGCGGACCGGCAAGUUGGAAGUGAAAACUAUGGGCUCAACCCAUAAAUUGCUUUCAAAACUGCUGGCCUUGAGUAGUGCAGAGGUAGGUGGAAUUCCCGGUGUAGCGGUGGAAUGCGUAGAUAUCGGGAGGAACACCAGUGGCGAAGGCGACCUACUGGGCACCAACUGACGCUGAGGCUCGAAAGCAUGGGUAGCAAACAGGAUUAGAUACCCUGGUAGUCCAUGCCGUAAACGAUGAUUACUAGGUGUUGGAGGAUUGACCCCUUCAGUGCCGCAGUUAACACAAUAAGUAAUCCACCUGGGGAGUA
rnacentral:rRNA from 1 species